rnacentral:rRNA from 1 species
CCUACGGGAGGCAGCAGUAGGGAAUAUUGCUCCAUGGGGGAAACCCUGAAGCAGCAACGCCGCGUGGAGGCUGCCGGUUUUCGGAUUGUAAACUCCUUUUGUUAGAGAAGAUAAUGACGGUAUCUAACGAAUAAGCACCGGCUAACUCCGUGCCAGCAGCCGCGGUAAUACGGAGGGUGCAAGCGUUACUCGGAAUCACUGGGCGUAAAGAGAGCGUAGGCGGGAUAGCAAGUCAGAUGUGAAAUCCUAUGGCUUAACCAUAGAACUGCAUUUGAAACUGUUAUUCUAGAGUAUGGGAGAGGUAGGUGGAAUUCUUGGUGUAGGGGUAAAAUCCGUAGAGAUCAAGAGGAAUACUCAUUGCGAAGGCGACCUGCUAGAACAUAACUGACGCUGAUGCGCGAAAGCGUGGGGAGCAAACAGGAUUAGAUACCCCAGUAGUC